GACGAACGCUGGCGGUGUGCUUAACACAUGCAAGUCGAACGGUAAGGCCCUUUCGGGGGUACACGAGUGGCGAACGGGUGAGUAACACGUGAGUAACCUGCCCUCAUCUCUGGGAUAACAGUCGGAAACGGUUGCUAAUACUGGAUAUGAGCUUGCACGGCAUCUUGUGGGUUGGAAAGAUUUUUUUGGUUGGGGAUGGACUCGCGGCCUAUCAGCUUGUUGGUGAGGUAGUGGCUCACCAAGGCUUCGACGGGUAGCCGGCCUGAGAGGGCGACCGGCCACAUUGGGACUGAGAUACGGCCCAAACUCCUACGGGAGGCAGCAGUGGGGAAUAUUGCACAAUGGACGGAAGUCUGAUGCAGCAACGCCGCGUGCGGGAUGACGGCCUUCGGGUUGUAAACCGCUUUCAAUUGUGACGAAGCUUUUUGUGACGGUAGCAGUAGAAGAAGCACCGGCUAACUACGUG
rnacentral:rRNA from 1 species